AUACGUAGGGGGCGAGCGUUGUCCGGAAUGAUUGGGCGUAAAGGGCGCGUAGGCGGCCUGUUAAGUCUGGAGUGAAAGUCCUGUUUUCAAGAUGGGAAUUGCUUUGGAUACUGAUGGGCUUGAGUGCAGGAGAGGUUAUCGGAAUUCCCGGUGUAGCGGUGAAAUGCGUAGAGAUCGGGAGGAACACCAGUGGCGAAGGCGGGUAACUGGACUGCAACGGACGCUGAGGCGCGAAAGUGUGGGGAGCAAACAGGAUUAGAUACCCUGGUAGUCCACACUGUAAACGAUGAAUUCUAGGUGUAAGAGGUAUCGACCCCUUUUGUGCCGGAGUUAACACAAUAAGCAUUCCGCCUGGGGAGUACGGCCGCAAGGUUGAAACUCAAAGGAAUUGACGGGG
rnacentral:rRNA from 1 species